UAAUGUGAUCGCCACGUCACUUUAACGUCGCAUGUUUGAUGUAUGAAAGUCUAACUCCAAAGCACGAUGUACAUUGGCAUUGGUCAAUGAUGCUUCAACAUACUUACUGGAUAAAAAAAUAACAAAAUUGAGUUUCCAUGAGCUGAUUAUUAUUGUAAUAGCCCUUUACCUGAUAACAAAAAAGUGUCCGUUGAAAGUCGGGUGUUUUGCGCAAUUACCAAUGCAUAAUCAGAUAAUGUCCUCGCUGUGUGUUCUGAGGCAAUACUGUGCGCUUGCACUGUCUUUGCAAACUCGAGCACGCGGCUCCUUUAGGUUAUUUACAUUGUCAAGAGAACAAUAGGACUCCGCCCCCUAGCCCUCAACGUUUUCAGCCUCCCUUCCCUGAUGGCAGGGCAUUUGCGGCUCAGCGUUGACACCGAAAAAUAUGAACGCAGGUUUUCUCAGCGGUCUGCCAGGAUUUCAAAGGCUCUGCGUUUCAUAAUUGGAACAGAAUAUCCCGUAAAGUGAUUUCCUGCCGUGAGGUGACAUCAGAGGACCGAAUCUGUGAAUCCGACGAACCAAAAGGGAAUUGCGUCGAACCAAUCAACGAGACACGUGGCAUAUGCAGAGGUCCGCAGACGACAGCGUGCCCUCCAGGCAAGGGGCACUUUAAGCCAGCAGAUUAUUCCCAAAAUCUAAAAAUCACAUAAGUAUGUGAUUUCACACUCAGUCUGUAUAAUAUAUCGUGUGUGUACAGUGUAUGGUUAUACAUUUUAAGACUGUUUACUUUUUUAACAGGUGCUUUUAAAUUCAAGUUUCAAGUUUCAUUUACUAGGUAUAGCCCUGUGAGCCAUGCGGCUCUUAAGUCGGGUGCA